AAGGAGGAAAAACCAGGACACUUACCGUCAGCCGGGCUGCCACCACAACAUAAUGUACAAUCUCACCUUCACCAUGGAUGCACUAGUGGGUACCGUCUGGGGGGUCAAUAAAUCACUCGGGCGAAACUUCUACCGAGACGGAACCCCCAGCUGCCCGCUCAUCAUGCAGCCUCCCAGAUCAGCAUCCAGAUGGCAUCCUUUCUCCACCUCCAUUCCCCCCCUUACAUUCAUUCAUCUAUAUGUACAUCCAGGACAUUCAUUAAACCUUUAAACGACA